rnacentral:lncRNA from 1 species
AUGGAGAUUAAAGCUUCCUAAUAAAAUUUUAAACUUUGGAUGGAGACUUUAUAAUAAUUUACUACCUACUAAGGCUAACUCAUCGGGGUGUUCUUUUGAAUGGGACGUCCAGGUUAUGUUUUCAAAUGGUUGGGAGUGAUGUACAGGGUUUGCCCAAGUGAUCGAGAGGCUGUUCAUGAUAAUUGCUUUACUACUUUCUCUACCUUCCAGCUCUUGCCGUAAGUUAAUUCGUAAUAUUAUUCUAGAUGGGGAUUGUGACACUCUAGGAUGUAUGUAAUGAUUUGUUGGAGAAUUUGGUACAUUCGGACCUUCUUUACUAUGCUAAUAGGUUACCAGAGUUUACUUUAUGUGCAGCGUUGGUGCAGGGACUUUUUAGAUGAUUGGCUUACUGUGAAUGAGCUAACCACAUUCGGCAUUGAACAACAUCCCUUUGGCAGCUCGCUGGACACGACCUUCAAAUGAGGCUUUGAAGAUGCUUGUUGAUGCGACAUUGGAUAGGCUAAUAAUGCUGCUGGUUUUGGGGAUAUAUUACAGGAUCAUGGAGGUAAUUUUUUGGCUGCUAGGACGUGGAGAUCUGAUGAGGUAAUUUUUAGUUCUCAUAAAUAUACAUAACUUAAUUUUGACCCUUCCAAAAUUAAUUUCUAGGUUCGACCCUGGCCCUAGGAGGGUGCCGUUGACCUUAGAGUAGUAGUCACUGCUUUAUUUUCCAUCUCCCCACCUCCCUCCCUCUCUUUUCCUCUCGUCUUUCUUUUUUUUUCUCUUUUCCUUUUAUGUUUGCUCCGACCUUGAGAUGGGGUUUCUUGCGGAUGUUGGCCUGAGUGGCGGCUCCUCUUGUGAGUGUGUGUCUUCCCAAAUAUCCUCCAGCAGUUGACCACUGCUCUUUUGUUGGUGGGCCUCUCCUUGCCCCCAAUGGUCUCAUGGGUAUCUCCUAUGGUUGCUUUGGAGCUUUCCUCCUUUUUUGCUCUUGGGUCUCUUCUUCCAACAAGAUCUUCUCAUGUACCUUGUUGUACUCCAUUAAUGUGUCCCUUUUGAACUUGUUGUCUUUAGUGUUAAAUCUCCAAAUCUUGGGGUUGAAGGUCACUGCAUCUUGUGUUUAGUUUUGGUCUUGCUCUAAUCUUUAUUCAAUUGCAUGGUGAUGUCCGUAUCACUUUUUGGAUCUCAACUCGGCUAUGUCUCCUUCCUUUGAGAUAUUUGGGUUGUCGGUGAUACAGUUUUCUCUGGUUGCAUAGGGCUUGGAGGCCAUGCCUCUUCCUCCCUAUAGUGUGGUAGGUUGUCUUUAUCAUCAAGGUCAAGGCCUGUUUGGCCCUUGUGUUUUUUAUCCACGUCAGGAGACUGGAGACUUAUUAUUACUUUUCAUUUGUAGUUGGGGGUUUUGUCGUUAUCCUUAGCCGUGUUAUUUUCGUGGCAGCCAAACACCACCCCCUGAGAUUGAGUCAAACAUCAGCACGUGUAUUAUUAUAAACCCAAAGCUCUGAACCUGGACUAUCGACUUCCUUUUGACGUAAUCUUCAAUCGACACUUGGCUUUUCUUUUAUAUUUUUAUUACUUUAAUUAAUUUAUAUCGUACACAAAUUUCUUUUUUUUUUUGUAUUUUAACCAUAUUCUUCAAUGGUAUAUUUUAUAUUGCGUAAACGUCUCUUCAAAGAUAUUAUUGGAAAUAGACUUCCAUUAGUGGACACGAUGUUUAAGGUGUUAAUUAGUAAUUUAGAUUUGAGUUGUGUUGCUGUUAGGCCAAAUGACUAAAUUUUUUUUUUAAAUUAUUGAAAUGGACCAAUUAUUUAAUUAUUUAAUUAUUUAAUUAUUGAAAUCGCGUCCACGUCAGAGUGAUUUGCUUACGUGGACACAAAUCGCGCCCUCAAGGACGCGAUUUGCUGACGUGGAUGAACGGUUUCUCAUUUUUAGCUUGGAAAACUUUGAAAGGCCAUAACUUUUCGCUCGGUUGUCCGAUUGAGACGAUGUUUUUUUGAUUUCGAAUAACUUUUCGAGAUCUAUGUGCUGACAAACAGCCGAAGGCGGUUUGCCGCACUUUUCAUCGAAAAAGAUCCCUUUUUUCCCCUAAAUUUUGAUUUUUUUUCGAUUUAAAAUUAAAUUUUGAAACAUUCAAAUCAUUAGUUUCCUUAUUUAUUUGAAGUAAACACCAGAUUUUUUUUACAGAAUUGUUAUAUUAUUUCUUCUGAUUUGACACGCGUAUGGAAUAGGUCCGAUA